ensembl:snRNA U4 U4 spliceosomal RNA
AGCUUUGCGCAGUGGCAGUAUCGUAGCCAAUGAGGUUUAUCCGAGGCGCGAUUAUUGCUAAUUAAAACGGAGUCUGCAUUCUGGUUCUACCUGCUUCAAACUGUGACCGUAGCAGAGUGUUCACCACAUCAGCCACUGUACGGGUGACAACAGCAGACUUAGCAGGCCCCCCCCAGUGAAGAAUUGCAGAGGAUCGAUCACGUCCAUUUUACAAACGGAACCUAGGCUCAUAGGAUUGGUUAUAGUAUAACUUUUUACGGAAGUGUAGCAACUCAAACAUGCAGUUCUUGAACAAUAUGGCAAUUUCUGUGAGUAUGAAAAUU